rnacentral:lncRNA from 1 species
GCCCCGCCCACCGCGGCAGCACUGCCAUUGGACGCCCCCGCCCAUCCCGGGGCCUCCGUCUCCGCCCUCCCCGGCCGCACGGCCUGCUGGGGCUGCGCGAGGGCUAGGCGCAGGCGCAGUGCGGCGCAGGUCCCGGCCGUAGGGCCACUGCGUCUGUCCCGCCAGGUUCCGGGCCUUGCGUCAGGGUCACCCAGGAGGCGAGCGGGGGAAGAGACUCAGCCGAGGGAAGGAGGGGCUCCCCUGGCCCGGUGCCUCCCCCCACCUACUUGGGGUGAAGUUCAGACCACUCGUGCCCUCCUGCGGAGGCCCCCGUGGCAGUGCUGGGGACCCGGAGCUGGGCAUCUGCCACUAAGGCGCCCAAAACUGUGGCCACCGGGUUGGCCGGGCAGGAGUGUGACAUGGGGCAACAGUACCUGUGACAAGUGCCAGCGAGCGUGCGCAGGACCCAGAGUCGCUGGCGUGGAUGAUGUUCCUGUGCCAUAUGACACGCGGCAAGGUAAGGCCUGGGCCCCGGGGGGGUGCGCGCCCCCAUGCUGCCUGGGGGAGCAGCAGCAUCUCCGGAGCCAAGAGCUGGAAAGCUGGGCUCCGGCCCAGGCUCGUGGCCCAGCCCAGAAACCCUCACAUCAGUCCUGCCGUGCCAACCUCUGGGGACAGCCGGGAAGACAGUCAACGACCGGCGAUGGGGGCUGAGCAUGCACGCAUCACC